UACUGGACUCCUGUUUCAACAUGGUAAGAGUCUCUGUUACUGGACUCCUGUUUCAACAUGGUAAGAGUCUCUGUUACUGGACUCCUGUUUCAACAUGGUAAGAGUCUCUGUUACUGGACUCCUGUUUCAACAUGGUAAGAGUCUCUGUUACUGGACUCCUGUUUCAACAUGGGUGGUGAAUCUCAACACUCCAACCUGGUAUUCAUCCUGCUCAUGACUACAGAAAGGGAACUUGUAACUCUCUUGGAGCAGAUGGCACAGAUUUCAACACCACAAAUGUAAUUCUUACUUCUUACUUCUUACUUCUGGUUAGUAUACUGUACAUGAAGUAUGUUCUGUCAUGAUAAUGAUGUUGACUGGUAGUUUAUAAUGUAUUUAACUCAAUCCUCGGUGUGAUCGCUCUAUGGCGUGGUUGUUUUCGUUUGGGACCGCGCCGGUUAUGGAUCGCAUGGAUUAGUAGCAACAUUGUUGCGAAGCUUUAUCCUACAAACCAACGGACAGUCAGACAGUACACCGGCACGCCUGGAGACCACAGCUAAGAUCUCUCUGGUUCCCCUUCUCUCUUUCUCUUCCCUCUUUCGUUCCAGUGCUUUACCCUGAAACAGACUCGCUAUUUUACUAAUGCACUUCCCAGUGAAGUUCAUUGGAGCUGGACUAUUAUUGCCCUGCCAGAAGUAUUUGGGUGGACAUUUUAGUUAAAAGGGAGGUUGCUUUAAAGUUGUGUAUUGUUAUUUGAACUGUAUUGAGGUGGGGUGUACUAAGGACAUGUGGCCGAGAAGAUUGUGGACAUUUUUAAAAGCCUUUGUUGUGUCUAUGAACACCCCCCACAUUCAUACCCUCUGCACUCCUCCACUGGAA